rnacentral:rRNA from 1 species
UACGGAGGGUGCAAGCGUUGUCCGGAAUCACUGGGCGUAAAGGGCGCGUAGGCGGCUCAUGAAGGCUGUGGUGAAAGUCCGGGGACUCAACCUCGGAUCGGCCGUGGCCGACUCGUGGGCUGGAGCACUGUAGAGGCGGGUGGAAUUCCGGGGUGUAGCGGUGGAAUGCGUAGAGAUCCGGAAGAACACCAGUGGCGAAGGCGCCCGCUGGGCAGUGGCUGACGCUGAAGCGCGACAGCGUGGGGAGCAAACGAG